rnacentral:rRNA from 1 species
GACGAACGCUGGCGGCGUGCUUAACACAUGCAAGUCGAACGGAAAGGCCCUGCUUGCAGGGUGCUCGAGUGGCGAACGGGUGAGUAACACGUGGGUGAUCUGCCCCUUACUUUGGGAUAAGCCUGGGAAACUGGGUCUAGUACUGGAUAGGACCAUGCUGUAGGUGGUGUGGUGGAAAGAUUAGUUUCGGUAAGGGAUGAGCUCGCGGCCUAUCAGCUUGUUGGCGGGGUAAUGGCCUACCAAGGCGUCGACGGGUAGCCGGCCUGAGAGGGUGGACGGCCACAUUGGGACUGGGAUACGACCCAGACUCCUACGGGAGGCAGCAGUGGGGAAUAUUGCACAAUGGGCGCAAGCCUGAUGCAGCGACGCCGCGUGGGGGAUGACGGCCUUCGGGUUGUAAACUCCUUUCGGCCAUGACGAAGCCCUUGUGGUGACGGUAGUGGUAGAAGAAGCACCGGCUAACUACGUG